rnacentral:rRNA from 1 species
UACGAAGGGGGCUAGCGUUGCUCGGAAUCACUGGGCGUAAAGCGCACGUAGGCGGCUUCUUAAGUCAGGGGUGAAAUCCUGGAGCUCAACUCCAGAACUGCCCUUGAUACUGAAGAUCUUGAGUCCGGGAGAGGUGAGUGGAACUGCGAGUGUAGAGGUGAAAUUCGUAGAUAUUCGCAAGAACACCAGUGGCGAAGGCGGCUCACUGGCCCGAUACUGACGCUGAGGCACGAAAGCGUGGGGAGCAACAGG